GUGCUCACUUAAGUAUAGCACAUACACUAAAAUUGAAAUGAAACAGAGAGGAGUAACAUGGCCCCUGCACAAGGAUGACAGGCAAAUUUGUGAACUGUUCUAUAUUAAA